AUGGAGCAAUUGGAGAAGAGGAUGGAUGCUGCUGAACAACAAAUCAAAGAGCUGCGUGAAGAUAUUAAUAGGAGAUUUGACCAUUUGGUUGAGAUGAUAAGAAAGGGUGUCCCCCCUGCUACCAAUGAAGGAGAUUCAUCUAAAGAAGAGGAAGAUGUUCAUCAAGGAAGAAGGAGAGGUAAUCUUGGAGCAAGACCGCCACGACAACAUGUUGUUCAACGUGCUUCAAGAAGGCCAAUUUAUGUUGAGGCUUCUAAAGGUGAAGAAUAUGAUGAUGCCCUUGAAGAACCAAAUCUCUACGCAUAUCGGAGAGCACCCAACCCUACAUAUGCAAGAGAUACAUACAAGGUGAAAGCUGAGAUCCCAAGUUUUAAUGGAAAUGUUGACAUUCAAGGGUGA
rnacentral:rRNA from 1 species